CAAUUUAGAAGUCAAUAAUAGACAUUCUUGAUAUGAAAUUAGCUAGAAAAAAGUAGGGGUAUUUCAUUUCUUUUACAAUUUUAGCUGAUUCUGUAGCAGAAUCUCUGUUCUGGACUAAAGUAAUUUCAACAGUCGUAGAAGUGAGCUCAUCUCAAUUUCAUCUUAACUUGUCUUCAACAGAGUUUAGAGGAUAAAAUGGAGGUUGUCAUAGCUACUACUCUUUUGAGAUCAACAGAUGAUUCAUCAGAAGAUCAAGAACUCGAUAUAAAUCGUGUGUACUUUGAUGUUGCGGGUGGAGCAAAAAAAUAAUGUGUGUAUGGAUUGGGCUCUCAAGCUUCAACCUUGUAUAAAGAUAUGCCAUGCAAUUAGCCUGUAGUGUCCGAUCAUGUUGCCGAAGAGCGCAUCAAAAUACUUGAGAAAAAUCAAUAGAGAGUUUAGCAAGAGCGUGUCGAGUCGGAGGUGCAACAACGAGUAGAGCAAGAGGUUUCUUGUUUGAGGCAACAAAGUGAUGAUCGAUUCAAAUCUAUAGAGGAGCAAUGGUCUCGCAUGAUGAGCGAUAUGACAUUAUCUUCUUUCUUAUUUAGUAAUCCUACUCUCCCUAAUAGGGACUUAUCUAAUGCUUAAGUGUUUAAUAUUUUGAGACUUUAGAUACUUGAAGUGUCGACUUGAACAUUGUCACACUGUCGACACCCAAUUUUGGCUCUCCAUACUUAGAAUUAACGCAUUUAGGCUCUCUAAUCGUUAAAUGACAUAAUAUGUAAUUUUUCACA